rnacentral:rRNA from 1 species
UACGAAGGGGGCUAGCGUUGUUCGGAAUUACUGGGCGUAAAGCGCGCGUAGGUGGUUUCUUACGUCUGAUGUGAAAGCCCACGGCUCAACCGUGGAGGGUCAUUGGAAACUGGCGAGCUUGAGUGUGGCAGAGGGGGGUGGAAUUCCGCGUGUAGCAGUGAAAUGCGUAGAGAUGCGGAGGAACACCGAUGGCGAAGGCAGCCCCCUGGGCUGACACUGACGCUCAGGCACGAAAGCGUGGGGAGCAAACAGG